rnacentral:rRNA from 1 species
CCUACGGGUGGCAGCAGUAGGGAAUUUUCGGCAAUGGGGGGAACCCUGACCGAGCAACGCCGCGUGAAGGAAGAAGGAAUUCGUUCUGUAAACUUCUGUUAUAAAGGAAGAAAGACGGAUGGAGGAAAUGACAUCCGAGUGACGGUACUUUAUGAGAAAGCCACGGCUAACUACGUGCGAGCAGCCGCGUUAAUGCGUAGGUGGCAAGCGUUAGCCGGAAUUAUUGGGGGUAAAGAGGGGGCAGGGGGCAGCAAAGGUCGGUGGUGAACGACUGAAGCUUAACUUCAGUAAGCCACAGAAACCGGGCAGCUAGAGUGCAGGAGAGGAUCGUGGAAUUCCAUGUGUAGCGGUGAAAUGCGUAGAUAUAAGGAGGAACACCAGUGGCGAAGGCGACGAUCUGGCCUUCAACUGACGCUCAGGCACGAAAGCGUGGGGAGCAAAUAGGAUUAGAUACCCCAGUAGUC